rnacentral:misc_RNA from 1 species
GAUGGAAGAACGUAGCGAAAUGCGAUAAGUAAUGUGAAUUGCAGAAUUCAGUGAAUCAUCGAAUCUUUGAACGCACAUUGCGCCCGCCAGUAUUCUGGCGGGCAUGCCUGUUCGAGCGUCAUUACAACCCUCAGGCCCCCGGGCCUGGCGUUGGGGAUCGGCGGAAGCCCCCUGCGGGCACAACGCCGUCCCCCAAAUACAGUGGCGGUCCCGCCGCAGCUUCCAUUGCGUAGUAGCUAACACCUCGCAACUGGAGAGCGGCGCGGCCACGCCGUAAAACACCCAACUUCUGAAUGUUGACCUCGAAUCAGGUAGGAAUACCCGCUGAACUUAAGCAUAUCAAUAAGCGGAGGA